rnacentral:lncRNA from 1 species
AAGAAAGAAAAGCGAAAUGAAAUUGAAUAAACGGGGCCACAGCGAGGAUUUUCGGAAUCGAGCUGCUUGAGAAAUUAAACAAAAAGAAAAGAAUGGCCGCUGUGGAUUGGAGGGGAGAAAACGAACGGCGCCGUUUCGACAGUAAAUGGGCCGUAAGAAAAGGAGAAAGAAAAUAGAAAAGGGGGAAAAUGUGGGCCCCCACUUCCCAAGACA